rnacentral:rRNA from 1 species
UACGUAGGGUGCAAGCGUUGUCCGGAAUUAUUGGGCGUAAAGAGCUCGUAGGCGGUUUGUCGCGUCUGCUGUGAAAACUCGGGGCUUAACUCCGGGCCUGCAGUGGGUACGGGCAGACUAGAGUGCGGUAGGGGAGACUGGAAUUCCUGGUGUAGCGGUGAAAUGCGUAGAUAUCGGGAGGAACACCAGUGGCGAAGGCGACUACCUGGCCUGUUCUUGACGCUGAGGCGCGAAAGCUAGGGAG